CAGUCGCCACGGUAAAACGGAGGGUGCAAGCGUUAUCCGGAUUUACUGGGUUUAAAGGGUGCGUAGGUGGGUCUGUAAGUCAGUGGUGAAAUCUCCGAGCUUAACUCGGAAACUGCCAUUGAUACUAUAGGUCUUGAAUCAUCUGGAGGUGAGCGGAAUAUGUCAUGUAGCGGUGAAAUGCUUAGAUAUGACAUAGAACACCAAUUGCGAAGGCAGCUCACUACGGAUGUAUUGACACUGAGGCACGAAAGCGUGGGGAUCAAACAGGAUUAGAUACCCCAGUAGUCCCUGUCUCUUAUAC
rnacentral:rRNA from 1 species